rnacentral:rRNA from 1 species
CCCUUCAGAGGGGGACAACAGUUGGAAACGACUGCUAAUACCGCAUACGAUCCAAUCUCGGCAUCGAGACUGGAUGAAAGAUGGCCUCUAUUUAUAAGCUAUCACUGAAGGAGGGGAUUGCGUCUGAUUAGCUAGUUGGAGGGGUAACGGCCCACCAAGGCGAUGAUCAGUAGCCGGUCUGAGAGGAUGAACGGCCACAUUGGGACUGAGACACGGCCCAG